AUUGAACGCUGGCGGCAUGCCUUACACAUGCAAGUCGAACGGCAGCACGGGAGCAAUCCUGGUGGCGAGUGGCGAACGGGUGAGUAAUAUAUCGGAACGUGCCCAGUCGUGGGGAUAACGUAGCGAAAGCUACGCUAAUACCGCAUACGAUCUAUGGAUGAAAGCGGGGGAUCGCAAGACCUCGCGCGAUUGGAGCGGCCGAUAUCAGAUUAGGUAGUUGGUGAGGUAAAGGCUCACCAAGCCGACGAUCUGUAGCUGGUCUGAGAGGACGACCAGCCACACUGGGACUGAGACACGGCCCAGACUCCUACGGGAGGCAGCAGUGGGGGAAUUUUUGGGACAAUGGGCGCAAGCCUGAUCCAGCAAUGCCGCGUGCAGGAUGAAGGCCUUCGGUUGGUAACUAGCUUUGUUACGGU
rnacentral:rRNA from 1 species